UACGUAGGGGGCAAGCGUUGUCCGGAUUUAUUGGGCGUAAAGAGCGUGUAGGCGGCCUGGAAGGUCAGCUGUGAAAACUCGAGGCUCAACCUCGAGACGUCGGUUGAAACCACCUGGCUAGAGUCCGGAAGAGGAGAGUGGAAUUCCCGGUGUAGCGGUGAAAUGCGCAGAUAUCAGGAAGAACACCCGUGGCGAAAGCGGCUCUCUGGACCGAGACUGACGCUGAGGCGCGAAAGCUAGGGGAGCAAACGGG
rnacentral:rRNA from 1 species